AGCGUGGCCUAGGUUUACUAGUGUCUAGCAGCGGACGGCAGAGUAAUGCACGGGAAUGUACCUCAGGGGUGGGGAAUAGCCCUUCGAAAGAAGGGGUAAUACCGCAUGUGAUCGCAAGAUCAAAGCAGCAAUGCGCCAUGAGAGCAGCCUGUGUCCUAUCAGGUAGUUGGUGGGGUAAAAGCCUACCAAGCCUACGACGGGUAGCUGGUCUGAGAGGAUGAUCAGCCUGAUCGGGACUGAGACACGGCCCGAACUCCUACGGGAGGCAGCAGUUGGGAAUUUUGCACAAUGGACGAAAGUCUGAUGCAGCGACGCCGCGUGGAGGAUGAAGGUCUUCGGAUUGUAAACUCCUUUUACGAGAGAGUAAUUUUAUGAAAGUAUCUCGUGAAUAAGCACCGGCUAACUCCGUGCCAGCAGCCGCGGUAAUACGGAGGGUGCUAACGUUGUCCGGAAUUACUGGGCGUAAAGAGCAUGUAGGUGGCUUUGAACGUCGACGAUGAAAGACCAUCGCUUAACGAUGGGAACGUUUUCGAUACGACAAAGCUAGAGUGAAACAGGGGUAAGCGGAACUUUCGGUGUAGGAGUGAAAUCCGUAGAUAUCGAAAGGAACACCAAUGGCGAAGGCAGCUUACUGGG
rnacentral:rRNA from 1 species